CGAACGGUGAGUAACACGUGAAUAAUCGUGCCCUGUACGAUGGGAUAACAGCUGGAAACGGCUGCUAAUACCGUAUAUGACCACGCCGAGGCAUCUCGGAGGGUGAAAGCGCUUAAGCGGUACAGGAUGAGUUCGCGUCCAAUUAGCUAGUUGGUGAGGUAACGGCCCACCAAGGCGACGAUUGGUAGCCGACCUGAGAGGGUGAUCGGCCACACUGGAACUGAGACACGGUCCAGACUCCUACGGGAGGCAGCAGUGGGGAAUAUUGGGCAAUGGAGGAAACUCUUACCCAGCCAAUGCCGCGUGAGUGAUGAAGGUCUUCGGAUUGUAAAGCUCUUUGAUUGGGGACGAAUAAAUGACGGUACCCAAGGAACAAGCCCCGGCUAACUAUGUGCCAGCAGCGGC
rnacentral:rRNA from 1 species